AUUGAACGCUGGCGGCAGGCCUAACACAUGCAAGUCGAACGAGUGGCGGACGGGUGAGUAAUGUCUGGGCAACUGCCCGAUGGCGGGGGAUAACUACUGGAAACGGUAGCUAAUACCGCAUACCAUCAGAUGUGCCCAGAUGGGAUUAGCUGGUUGGUGGGGUAACGGCUCACCUAGGCGUCGAUCCCUAGCUGGUCUGAGAGGAUGACCAGCCACGCUGGAACUGAGACACGGUCCAGAAUCCUACGUGAGGCAGCAGUGGGGAAUAUUGCACAAUGGGCGCAAGCCUGAUGCAGCCAUGCCGCGUGUGUGAAGAAGGCCUUCGGGUUGUAAAGCACUUUCAUCGGGGAGGCGUUACCCGCAGAAGAAGCACCGGCUAACUCCGUGCCAGCCGCCGCGGUAAUUC
rnacentral:rRNA from 1 species